AGAGUUUGAUCCUGGCUCAGGAUGAACGCUAGCGGCGGGCUUAAUACAUGCAAGUCAAGGGGUAGCAAUACACCGGCGUACGGGUGCGUAACGCGUAUGGAACCUGCCCUUAUCUGGGGGAUAACUCGGGGAAACNCCGAGCUAAUACCGCAUAAGAUAGUAGAAUGGCAUCAUUCAGCUAUUAAAGAUUUAUUGGAUAAGGAUGGCCAUGCGUAAGAUUAGAUAGUUGGCGAGGUAACGGCUCACCAAGUCUACGAUCUUUAGGGGCUCUGAGAGGAGAAUCCCCCACACUGGCACUGAGAUACGGGCCAGACUCCUACGGGAGGCAGCAGUAGGGAAUAUUGGGCAAUGGGCGGAAGCCUGACCCAGCCACGCCGCGUGCAGGAAGACGGCCCUCUGGGUUGUAAACUGCUUAUAACUGGGAAGAAAAGAGGCCUUGCGAGGCAAGUUGACGGUACCAGUUGAAUAAGCCACGGCUAACUACGUGCCAGCAGCCGCGGUAAUACGUAGGUGGCAAGCGUUAUCCGGAUUUAUUGGGUUUAAAGGGAGCGUAGGCGGCUGAUUAAGUCAGCGGUGAAAGGUAGCAG
rnacentral:rRNA from 1 species